UACAGAGGGUGCGAGCGUUAAUCGGAGUUACUGGGCGUAAAGGGCGCGUAGGCGGUGAUAUGAGUGUGAUGUGAAAGCCCCGGGCUUAACCUGGGAAGUGCAUCGCAAACGAUAUGACUAGAAUAUAUGAGAGGGUGGUGGAAUUUCCGGUGUAGCGGUGAAAUGCGUAGAGAUCGGAAGGAACGUCGAUGGCGAAGGCAGCCACCUGGCAUAAUAUUGACGCUGAGGCGCGAAAGCGUGGGGAGCGAACAGG
rnacentral:rRNA from 1 species